UAAAAAGGACACUAUUAGGAUUAAACACGCUAAGCAUAAAACAUAAUUCAUUGUCAAUUUGCAUUAUAUCAGAAGAUAUUUUUUAUGUAAAAACUCCAGACUCGCAUUUCCAAAGUUAUCUGUGUUUUCUAACUCAUUUUAAAGGUGUGAGUAUAAAAAAUGUAUACAGUAGAUGAAUGGAUAGUCUAAAAGCUGGUAAACAGAUGGAUGAUUGAUAAAUGGAUUUGUGAGUGGGAACUUGAUGGAUAAUAUGAUGGAUGGGAAAAUUGAUGAAUGGAGGGGGUACUCCGUCCAUCAAUGGAGCACCCCCAUUGAUGAAUGGGGGAGGAAUGGAUCAUCU